rnacentral:rRNA from 1 species
UCAGCCGCCGCGGUAAUACGUAGGUGGCAAGCGUUAUCCGGAAUUAUUGGGCGUAAAGCGCGCGCAGGUGGUUUCUUAAGUCUGAUGUGAAAGCCCACGGCUCAACCGUGGAGGGUCAUUGGAAACUGGGAGACUUGAGUGCAGAAGAGGAAAGUGGAAUUCCAUGUGUAGCGGUGAAAUGCGUAGAGAUAUGGAGGAACACCAGUGGCGAAGGCGACUUUCUGGUCUGUAACUGACACUGAGGCGCGAAAGCGUGGGGAGCAAACAGGAUUAGAUACCCUGGUAGUCCACGCCGUAAACGAUGAGUGCUAAGUGUUAGAGGGUUUCCGCCCUUUAGUGCUGAAGUUAACGCAUUAAGCACUCCGCCUGGGGAGUACGGCCGCAAGGCUGAAACUCAAAGGAAUUGGCGGGGGAGCAC